UCAGGAUGAACGCUAGCGACAGGCCUAACACAUGCAAGUCAGGGGCAGCACAAGGAGCAAUCUGAGGUGGCGACCGGCGCACGGGUGAGUAACACGUAUGCAACCUGCCUGUAAGCGGGGAAUAACCCGUUGAAAGACGGACUAAUACCGCAUAAUACUAAAUUACUGCAUGGUAAUUUAUUUAAACAUUUAUGGCUUACAGAUGGGCAUGCGCAUGAUUAGCUAGUUGGAGAGGUAACGGCUCCCCAAGGCAACGAUCAUUAGGGGUUCUGAGAGGAAGGUCCCCCCACACUGGUACUGAGACACGGACCAGACUCCUACGGGAGGCAGCAGUGGGGAAUAUUGGUCAAUGGACGAGAGUCUGAACCAGCCAAGUCGCGUGCAGGAAGAAUGUCCCUAUGGAUUGUAAACUGCUUUUGCAGGGGAAUAAAGUGCAUCACGUGUGAUGUUUUGUAUGUACUCUGCGAAUAAGGAUCGGCUAACUCCGUGCCAGCCGCCGC
rnacentral:rRNA from 1 species